rnacentral:rRNA from 1 species
UACGAAGGGGGCUAGCGUUGUUCGGAAUCACUGGGCGUAAAGCGCACGUAGGCGGAUGUGCCAGUCAGGUGUGAAAUCCCGGAGCUCAACUCCGGAACUGCCUCUGAUACAGCACGUCUUGAGUUCGAGAGAGGUGGGUGGAAUUCCUAGUGUAGAGGUGAAAUUCGUAGAUAUUAGGAAGAACACCGGUGGCGAAGGCGGCCCACUGGCUCGAUACUGACGCUGAGGUGCGAAAGCGUGGGGAGCAAACAGG